GGGAAAUAAGUAGGUAUAUCAGAGUUUUGAUACCCCCAAUUUCUUUCGCUAAAUCAGGAAUCCAAUAAGCAAAAUCAAAGAAAACGAAAUGGGGUUUUAGAUUUUGAAGAAUUGAUUUGAUUUCAUCAUACAAUUCAUCAAAAGCAGUUGCUAACAGAGUCUCCAUUGGUCCAGGAACGUCAGCUGUUGUCUCUGCUCCAUAGGGAAGGCCAUCAACAUGAGGUAUUGUCAGUUUAUG
rnacentral:misc_RNA from 1 species